rnacentral:rRNA from 1 species
UACGGGGGGGGGCAAGCGUUGUUCGGAAUUACUGGGCGUAAAGGGCUUGUAGGUGGCCAACUAAGUCAGACGUGAAAUCCCUCGGCUUAACCGGGGAACUGCGUCUGAUACUGGAUGGCUUGAGUUUGGGAGAGGGAUGCGGAAUUCCAGGUGUAGCGGUGAAAUGCGUAGAUAUCUGGAGGAACACCGGUGGCGAAGGCGGCAUCCUGGACCGGCAUUGACGCUGAGGCGCGAAAGCUAGGGGAGCAAACGGGG